UGUUUAUCAAAAACAUCUUUUCUUGAUAGUUUUUGAAGUAUAGCCUGCCCGCUGAUUUGGUUUGAAGGGCCGCGGUAUUCUGACCGUGCAAAGGUAGCAUAAUCAUUAGUUCUUUAAUUGUGAUCUGGAAUGAAUGGCUGGACGAGACACUAGCUGUCUUAUUUUGAAUUGGGUUGUUGAAUUUGGUCUUUGAGUUAAAAUUCUUAAAUGUUUUUAUGGGACGAGAAGACCCUAUAGAGUUUUACAUCAGGUUUGGGUUGAUAAUGUUUGUUGUUUUGUGUUUAUUUGGCUUGAUGUUUUGUUGGGGCGAUGGGAGGAAUUUAUUUAACUCUUCUUGUUAAGUUGGUAUAUUGAUUUGUACUUG
rnacentral:rRNA from 1 species